rnacentral:rRNA from 1 species
AUUGAACGCUGGCGGCAUGCUUUACACAUGCAAGUCGAACGGCAGCGCGGGCUUCGGCCUGGCGGCGAGUGGCGAACGGGUGAGUAAUGCAUCGGAACGUGCCCAGUAGUGGGGGAUAGCCCGGCGAAAGCCGGAUUAAUACCGCAUACGACCUGAGGGUGAAAGCAGGGGACCGAAAGGCCUCGCGCUAUUGGAGCGGCCGAUGUCGGAUUAGCUAGUUGGUGGGGUAAAGGCUUACCAAGGCGACGAUCCGUAGCUGGUCUGAGAGGACGACCAGCCACACUGGGACUGAGACACGGCCCAGACUCCUACGGGAGGCAGCAGUGGGGAAUUUUGGACAAUGGGGGCAACCCUGAUCCAGCCAUGCCGCGUGCGAGAAGAAGGCCUUCGGGUUGUAAACCGCUUUUGUUCGGGAAGAAAUCCUCUGGGCUAAUACCCCGGGGGGAUGACGGUACCGGAAGAAUAAGCACCGGCUAACUACGUG